GACGAACGCUGGCGGCGUGCUUAACACAUGCAAGUCGAACGGAAAGGCCCUUCGGGGUACUCGAGUGGCGAACGGGUGAGUAACACGUGGGUGAUCUGCCCUGCACUUCGGGAUAAGCCUGGGAAACUGGGUCUAAUACCGGAUAUGACCGCAUGAUGCAUGUUGUGUGGUGGAAAGCUUUUGCGGUGUGGGAUGGGCCCGCGGCCUAUCAGCUUGUUGGUGGGGUCAAGGCCACCAAGGCGACGACGGUAGCCGGCCUGAGAGGGUGACCGGCCACACUGGGACUGAGAUACGGCCCAGACUCCUACGGGAGGCAGCAGGUGGGGAAUAUUGCACAAUGGGCGGCAAGCCUGAUGCAGCGACGCCGCGUGA
rnacentral:rRNA from 1 species